rnacentral:lncRNA from 1 species
CCCCCAAAACAACAGGAUCGCAUCCAGGUUACAGUAUUGAAAUUAGAAUCUACCACUAUUAUUACACAACAUCUCUUACCAAAUCAGAUCAUCUUCGAUAAGAAGAAUCACUGUCCACUAUUCCAGCUAUGACUUACACUUGAAUCCCUAUAGCACAGCUCUAGCUUGCACCAACCUCAUCAACUUUCCUGAACACUCCUCGACCACUGGAUCCUCAACUCUGUCUCCUCGCCUAGCAUUAGCCUUAUUCACAAUCUCAAUCAAUCAUCUCAUCUUUAAGCCUUUCUGAAAUGGUUAGAAAGGAAUAGCAAGGGUGAGCAACAAUGCUCAGCAAGUAAUAAUAAACAAUGAUAGUUCUGAAAUGAUAUAACAGAAGUUCACGAGUUCAAGAUAUAAGAGGAUUCAACCUGAGUUCAUGAGUUCAUGGUAUUGUAUAGAAUGAUUUACAAUACCUUGCAGCAUUUAAACUGAGAAAUUCAAUCUUUCCAAAGAAUUAUUGAAUUGGACUAUCACAUUUUAAUUAAAACCAAGGUUAGGCAGCUGAUCAGUUCCGCACUAACCCCGAGCAGGCCCCGCCAUGCUCUAUCACUGGAUCCAAGGCACUCAUUGGCCUAACAUGACCACGAAUCUGGUCCACAGGUUUAUAUAAAAACAAUAAUCCAAUUCUCUAAUUCAAUUCAAGAAACCAAUGUAAAUCAACAGAACAUCAUCAUAAAUAUUAUCAACAACUGAAUAAUUCCAAAUCAACUUUUAAGAAUCAUCUUUUUAUAAAUCAAAAUUCAAGAAGUUCUUAACUAUUCAGUAUCCUCCAUCAUCGGCUAAGUUAACUAGCCUGAUAAUGGUGGGUUGAAUAAUCAAGAAGAUCCCAAUUCAUUCAAAGCUCUAACUAUCACUGAGCAACACAUGCUUCAAUGACAAUCUGAACUUCGAAUUAAUUAGUAACACGGAAAUUCUUUAGAAACUUGAAGAAUAGAAAGAAUAGAUCCGAACACAUGCACUUUUA